GACGAACGCUGGCGGCGUGCUUAACACAUGCAAGUCGAACGAAGAGCGAUGGAAGCUUGCUUCUAUCAAUCUUAGUGGCGAACGGGUGAGUAACGCGUAAUCAACCUGCCCUUCAGAGGGGGACAACAGUUGGAAACGACUGCUAAUACCGCAUACGAUCUAAUCUCGGCAUCGAGGAUAGAUAAAAGGUGGCCUCUACAUGUAAGCUAUCACUGAAGGAGGGGAUUGCGUCUGAUUAGCUAGUUGGAGGGGUAACGGCCCACCAAGGCGAUGAUCAGUAGCCGGUCUGAGAGGAUGAACGGCCACAUUGGGACUGAGACACGGCCCAGACUCCUACGGGAGGCAGCAGUGGGGAAUCUUCCGCAAUGGACGAAAGUCUGACGGAGCAACGCCGCGUGAGUGAUGACGGCCUUCGGGUUGUAAAGCUCUGUUAAUCGGGACGAAAGGCCUUCUUGCGAAUAGUGAGAAGGAUUGACGGUACCGGAAGAGAAAGCCACGGCUAACUACGUG
rnacentral:rRNA from 1 species